GCCUCCACCGCCUUCUUCCAGGAGGAGGGGCCGUGCGGCGCCUGCCCGGGGGCCCUCAGGCCGCAGGCGGGCGCGAGCUUCAGGGAACUUAGGGGGCUCCCGCCUCCCCGGCCAUGCGAGCGGGAACAGUCUCCUCCACUCGGAGCGCCAUCUUAAAACCACUCAAAGUUGACGGUCUCCUCUCCUGCCUCCUGCGGCUUCCAUUACCAUGGCAGAGACUGUGGUGUCUGAGGUGGUGUAGCAUACUGAAGCAAGGCUGUCUUGAAGAAGAGGAGACAACUCACAAUUCUACCACCUUUGUUGACCUCUUCUUCUCCCCCAACUUAUUGCUAUAGAGGCUACCUGAGCUCAUUGUCCCUGGAGAUGGACCAAAUAGAAGAAUAAGCAGUGCCUGUGUGGUGAGCUUCAAGAGGCAUCUGUUCUCUGGGGAGUGGGUGGGUGGUAAAGCAAAGAUGGGAGAUGUGUAUAUUAGCUAUCCAUUACUGUAUAAUUAAUUAUACACAAAACUAAACUAUACACUAAACUAAAACUUCACAGCUUAAAACAGAAAAUAUGUAUUAUCUCACACAAUUUCUGAGAGUCAGGAAUCUGAAAAUGGCUUAGCUAGUUUGGUUCUGGCUCAGGGUGACCUAUGGAGUUGCAGCCAAGAUGUCAUCUGGGACUACUGUCAUUGGAAGGCUCAGCUGGGGCUGGAGGCUACACUUCCAAGAUGGCUCACUUAUAGGGCUAUUGGUGGGAGGCUUCAGUUCCUCUCCACAUGAAACUUUCCUCAUGCCAUGGAACUGGCUUCCCUCAGAGUGAAAGACCCGAGAGACAGACUAAGACAGAAGCUGCAAUGUUUUUAUGACCUAGUCUUGGAAGUGACAUACUGUCAUUUCUACUGUAUUUUAUUCAUUAGAAGCAAGUCAUUAAGUCCAGCCCACAUUUAAAGUGAGAGGAUUUAAGCUGAACCUCUUGAAAAAAUGGUAUCAAAGUAUUUAUGGACAUUUUAAAAACUACCACAAUACAUAUAGGUGAACUUCACAAGGUGUAGACAUGGGCUGAGACAGAAUAUUGGAUAAUAUCUCAUUCUGCAAACAGCAGCCUCAUCUGUAAUAAAAUCCCAGCAUUCAGAAAUUAUCACGAUCAAGUAGGAAAAGGGCUUGUUGGAAAAAACUUAUCAAAGAUGUUACUUCAUUUAUCCAUUUAUUCUGAGCCAUAGCAUAAUAGCGACAAAUUGUGUGUCCUGUGUAAUUUGGAUCCUUUGCUCAAUAAUAGCUGAACAGAUUUUAUCCUAUUUUUAGAAUAGUUAAUAUAUACACAUGGCACAAAAUUUAAAAGGUAUAAAAGUUUCUGGUUCAAAAAUAAGAUUCCCUCCUUUUCUUUUUUUCUGAUUCGAGUGCAAUUCGAUUUACUGAUUUCUCAUGUAGCCUUACAAAGUAUUCUAUGUACUUACAAACAUAUAUGCACACAUAUUUUUUCUUUCCCACAAAUAAAAUACUGUAUGCAUUGUU
rnacentral:lncRNA from 1 species